rnacentral:rRNA from 1 species
AAAGGGUAGCAAUACCUGAGUACAGUGGCGCACGGGUGAGUAACACGUGAAUUAUCUACCUUCGAGUGGGGAAUAACUGAGAGAAAUCUCAGCUAAUACCGCAUAACACCUACGGGUCAAAGCAGCAAUGCGCUUGAAGAGGAGUUCGCGGCAGAUUAGUUAGUUGGCGGGGUAAUGGCCCACCAAGACGAUGAUCUGUAUCCGGCCUGAGAGGGCGCACGGACACACUGGAACUGAAACACGGUCCAGACUCCUACGGGAGGCAGCAGUGGGGAAUUUUGCGCAAUGGGGGAAACCCUGACGCAGCAACGCCGCAUGGAGGAUGAAAUCCCUUGGGAUGUAAACUCCUUUCGAUCGGGACGAUUAUGACGGUACCGGAAGAAGAAGCCCCGGCUAACUUCGUGCCAGCAGCCGCGGUAAUACGAGGGGGGCAAGCGUUGUUCGGAAUUAUUGGGCGUAAAGGGCGCGUAGGCGGUUUGACAAGUCUGAUGUGAAAUCUAUGGGCUCAACCCAUAGCCUGCAUUAGAAACUGUCGGGCUUGAGUAUGGGAGAGGUGAGUGGAAUUUCCGGUGUAGCGGUGAAAUGCGUAGAUAUCGGAAGGAACACCUGUGGCGAAAGCGGCUCACUGGACCAUAACUGACGCUGAGGCGCGAAAGCUAGGGGAGCAAACAGGAUUAGAUACCCUGGUAGUCCUAGCCCUAAACGAUGAUUGCUUGGUGUGACAGGUACCCAAUCCUGUCGUGCCGAAGCUAACGCGAUAAGCAAUCCGCCUGGGGAGUACGGUCGCAAGGCUGAAACUCAAGGAAUUGAC